UGUUAAAAAUUUCAUCUAUUUCUACUGUUAAAAAUGAUGCAGUUGAUAGAAUAAUUAGACAGUUACACAUGAUGUGUCACGUGUACCUUAUAUUAACAUAUAAAGACUAAUUUUUUAACAGUAAAAAUAGAUGAAUUUUUAACA
rfam:Gossypium raimondii Chr12_contig_191, whole genome shotgun sequence.